AUCCAGCUGACGAGUCCUAAAUGGGACGAAACGCAUGUCCUUGAU
rnacentral:hammerhead_ribozyme from 1 species